UCCACCACCUCCAUACGUUUACAGUUCUCCACCACCUCCACUAUCGUAUUCGCCAUCUCCCAAGGUAGACUACAAGUCUCCACCACCUCCAUAUGUUUACAGCUCUCCACCACCACCAUAUUACUCACCAUCCCCUAAAGUCGAAUACAAAUCCCCACCACCUCCAUAUGUUUAUAGUUCUCCACCACCACCAUAUUACUCACCCUCACCUAAAGUAGAUUACAAGUCUCCACCACCACCGUAUGUUUACAGCUCCCCACCACCACCAUACUAUUCACCUUCUCCAAAGCCCACAUACAAAUCACCACCACCUCCAUAUGUUUACAAUUCUCCACCACCACCAUACUACUCACCAUCCCCUAAGGUCGAAUACAAAUCUCCACCACCUCCAUACGUCUAUAGCUCUCCACCCCCACCAUACUACUCACCCUCACCUAAAGUAGAUUAUAAGUCUCCACCACCACCGUAUGUUUACAACUCUCCACCACCACCAUACUAUUCACCUUCUCCAAAACCCACAUACAAGUCCCCACCACCACCAUAUAUUUACAGCUCUCCACCACCACCAUACUAUUCUCCUUCUCCUAAACCAGUAUACAAAUCUCCACCACCACCAUACGUCUAUUCCUCUCCACCACCACCAUACUAUUCACCUUCUCCUAAACCAGCAUACAAAUCUCCACCACCACCGUAUGUUUAUAGCUCUCCACCUCCUCCAUACUACUCGCCUUCUCCUAAACCCAUAUACAAGUCUCCACCACCACCGUACGUCUACAACUCUCCUCCACCACCAUACUACUCUCCUUCUCCAAAACCGGCAUACAAAUCUCCACCACCACCAUACGUAUACAGCUUUCCACCUCCUCCAUACUACUCGCCUUCUCCUAAACCCGUAUACAAGUCUCCACCACCACCAUACGUCUACAACUCUCCUCCACCACCAUACUACUCUCCUUCUCCAAAACCGGCAUACAAAUCUCCACCACCACCAUACGUAUACAGCUCUCCACCACCACCAUACUACUCGCCUUCUCCUAAACCAACAUACAAAUCUCCACCACCACCAUAUGUUUAUAGCUCUCCACCUCCUCCAUACUACUCGCCUUCUCCUAAACCCGUAUACAAGUCUCCACCACCACCGUACAUCUACAACUCUCCACCACCACCAUACUACUCCCCUUCACCUAAACCAUCAUACAAAUCCCCACCACCACCAUAUGUUUACAGCUCUCCACCACCACCAUAUUACUCGCCUUCUCCUAAGCUUACAUACAAAUCCUCACCACCACCCUAUGUUUACAGCUCUCCACCACCACCAUAUUACUCUCCUUCUCCUAAGGUUGUAUACAAAUCUCCACCACCACCAUAUGUUUACAGCUCUCCACCACCACCAUACUACUCCCCUUCACCUAAACCAUCAUACAAAUCCCCACCACCACCGUACGUCUAUAACUCUCCACCUCCUCCUUACUACUCUCCUUCACCUAAGGUCAUAUACAAAUCGCCACCACACCCACAUGUAUGUGUUUGUCCCCCACCUCCACCAUGCUACUCUCAUUCU
rnacentral:lncRNA from 1 species